rnacentral:rRNA from 1 species
UACGUAGGGGGCAAGCGUUGUCCGGAUUUAUUGGGCGUAAAGAGCGUGUAGGCGGUCAGGUAGGUCCGUUGUGAAAACUCGAGGCUCAACCUCGAGACGCCGAUGGAAACCAUCUGACUAGAGUCCGGAAGAGGAGAGUGGAAUUCCUGGUGUAGCGGUGAAAUGCGUAGAUAUGCGGAGGAACACCGAUGGCGAAGGCAAUCCCCUGGGCCUGCACUGACGCUCAUGCACGAAAGCGUGGGGAGCAAACAGG